rnacentral:tRNA from 1 species
GCCUGGGUGGCUCAGUCGAUGAAGCGUCUGACUUCAGCUCAGGUCAUGGUCUCAUGGCUCGUGGGUUCGAGCCCCGCAUCGAGCU